rnacentral:rRNA from 1 species
UACGUAGGGUGCGAGCGUUAAUCGGAAUUACUGAGCGUAAAGCGUGCGCAGGCGGCUUUGCAAGACAGAUGUGAAAUCCCCGGGCUCAACCUGGGAACUGCAUUUGUGACUGCAAGGCUAGAGUACGGCAGAGGGGGAUGGAAUUCCGCGUGUAGCAGUGAAAUGCGUAGAUAUGCGGAGGAACACCAAUGGCGAAGGCAAUCCCCUGGGCCUGUACUGACGCUCAUGCACGAAAGCGUGGGGAGCAAACAGG